UACGUAGGGUGCAGGCGUUAAUCGGAAUUACUGGGCGUAAAGCGUGCGCAGGCGGUCUUUUAAGUCAGAUGUGAAAUCCCCGGGCUUAACCUGGGAACUGCAUUUGUGACUGCAUAGCUAGAGUACGGUAGAGGGGGAUGGAAUUCCGCGUGUAGCAGUGAAAUGCGUAGAUAUGCGGAGGAACACCGAUGGCGAAGGCAAUCCCCUGGACCUGUACUGACGCUCAUGCACGAAAGCGUGGGGAGCAAACAGG
rnacentral:rRNA from 1 species